rnacentral:rRNA from 1 species
AACGAACGCUGGCGGCAGGCUUAACACAUGCAAGUCGAGCGCCCCGCAAGGGGAGCGGCAGACGGGUGAGUAACGCGUGGGAUCUACCCAUCUCUACGGAAUAACGCAUGGAAACGUGUGCUAAUACCGUAUACGUCCUUCGGGAGAAAGAUUUAUCGGAGAUGGAUGAGCCCGCGUUGGAUUAGCUAGUUGGUGGGGUAAAGGCCUACCAAGGCAACGAUCCAUAGCUGGUCUGAGAGGAUGAUCAGCCACACUGGGACUGAGACACGGCCCCGACUCCUACGGGAGGCAGCAGUGGGGAAUAUUGGACAAUGGGCGCAAGCCUGAUCCAGCCAUGCCGCGUGAGUGAUGAAGGCCCUAGGGUUGUAAAGCUCUUUCACCGGUGAAGAUAAUGACGGUAACCGGAGAAGAAGCCCCGGCUAACUUCGUGCCAGCCGCCGCAGUAACAC